rnacentral:ribozyme from 1 species
CAGCGCGGCGGCAUCGCCCCAGCAACGAAACGUCCCGCAAUUCACCAUGGAAGCCGAGUCGAUGUCCGCGGCGAACUCAGUGUUAAGCGACAGCAAUCGCCGGAACGCUGGUUCCGCAUG